rnacentral:rRNA from 1 species
UUAGGGGUUUCUGGUUUUUCAAGAAAUGAAUUUAAUUCAUGCGUCUUAUUUAGAGUUUUAUUAUUUUUUUAGUUUUUUUUAUUUGGCGUUAAGAUUGGGAGGGAUUAGCUUCUUAUUUUAUUUUUAUAAUUUCUAUGUUUAUUUAGUCUUGUGGAUUUUAUGGUGAUUUUCAAUUUGAUUAUGUUAAAAUUUUAUCUAUUUUUUUCUUUAUUUUAUUUCAUUUAAUUAUUUAUUGAAAUGUAUUCUUUAUCUUUAAUUUUGGUUAGUAAUUAUUGUGGAAUUAGUAAAUUUGUUGUUAGGUUGUUUUCGUUUAGUGUUAAUUUUUUUUGAGGAACUAGGCAAAUUUCAUGUCCGCCUGUUUAACAAAAACAUCUUUUCUCGUUAGUUUUUGAAGUAUGGCCUGCCCGCUGACUUUAGUGUUGAAGGGCCGCGGUAUUUUGACCGUGCAAAGGUAGCAUAGUCAUUAGUUCUUUAAUUGUGAUCUGGUAUGAAUGGCUUGACGAGGCAUGGGCUGUCUUAAUUUUGAAUUGUUUAUUGAAUUUGGUCUUUGAGUUAAAAUUCUUAGAUGUUUUUAUGGGACGAGAAGACCCUAUAGAGUUUGACAUUUAUUAUGGUCUCUUUCUUGUUUGUGAGGGUUUACUAGGCCGUUUAAUGUGUUUUGUUGGGGUGAUGGGAGGGAUAUAAUUUAA